rnacentral:rRNA from 1 species
UUUUUCCUACGGGGGGCAGCAGUAGGGAAUCUUCCACAAUGGGCGAAAGCCUGAUGGAGCAACGCCGCGUGGGUGAAGAAGGUCUUCGGAUCGUAAAACCCUGUUGUUAGAGAAGAAAGUGCGUGAGAGUAACUGUUCACGUUUCGACGGUAUCUAACCAGAAAGCCACGGCUAACUACGUGCCAGCAGCCGCGGUAAUACGUAGGUGGCAAGCGUUAUCCGGCUUUAUUGGGCGUAAAGAGAACGCAGGAGGCCUUUUAAGUCUGAUGU